GAUGAACGCUGGCGGCGUGCCUAAUACAUGCAAGUCGAGCGAACAGACGAGGAGCUUGCUCCUUUGACGUUAGCGGCGGACGGGUGAGUAACACGUGGAUAACCUACCUAUAAGACUGGGAUAACUUCGGGAAACCGGAGCUAAUACCGGAUAACAUGUUGAACCGCAUGGUUCAACAGUGAAAGACGGUCUUGCUGUCACUUCUAGAUGGAUCCGCGCCGCAUUAGCUAGUUGGUAAGGUAACGGCUUACCAAGGCAACGAUGCGUAGCCGACCGGAGAGGGGGAUCGGCCACACUGGAACUGAGACACGGUCCAGACUCCUACGGGAGGCAGCAGUAGGGAAUCUUCCGCAAUGGGCGAAAGCCUGACGGAGCAACGCCGCGUGAGUGAAGAAGGUCUUCGGAUCGUAAAACUCUGUUAUUAGGGAAGAACAAAUGUGUAAGUAACUAUGCACGUCUUGACGGUACCUAAUCAGAAAGCCACGGCUAACUACGUG
rnacentral:rRNA from 1 species